CAGAUAUUUUAAAUUGCUAAAAUAAUACACUUAACACCACCUUUGGUCCGCCAUUGUUGAGCAAAAGAGAAGAAAAUUUGUUCUUCUUUCACAGCCUUUUCUCCUCCAAAUCUCUCCUAAAUCUCUACACUUUUUCUUCAUUUAAUCAUCAUUUUCAUCACGAGUUUUUGAGCUUUCCUGAAACAUAAAUGGGUUCGUACAAGAAUCUGAAAAUUAAGGUGAAUAUUUGUGAUUUUACAUCAUUUUGAUACUCCAUCUCAUAUUUAUGAGAUUUGUUAUAUUAAUUGAGUUAUUUGAAUAGCUAUUUAAUGUUGUCAUUAUAAAUUGCUUAUGAAUUUUCACCAAGGGCGAAGUAAAAAAAAUUAAAUUGUACAGUCAAAUUUUGAAAAAAAAAUAUAUAAAAAUUAUAUAAAUUAAUGUACAAUAUUAAUCAUUGAUAAAGUAAUACAUAAUAUAGGUAGAUAUAAGUAUACUAAGAAGUUGAAAAUUUUAGAUCCACUCUCCCAACAUUUUUUGGGGGAAAGUAAUGAUUGUGAGGUUUACAAAGUAUUUUUUUACUAAUAUGUUAUUAUAUUAUCUCUAUCAUUCAAAUGUUGUAAUCUUAGUUCUCAAUUCUUGAAUAGCCAAAAUGCUUUAAAGGCUAAACUUAACUCUUUUGAUUUUUCUUUUUUUAUAUGUUGAUUUGUAUUUCACUUUGGUUAUUCACCCUUAUUGUUGUUGUUCUUUUUCUAUUUCACUAGUAGACUUUUAAAAAAAAAUUAAGCUUUAAGCACAAAAGUUUUUAUGAAGCCAACAUUUCAACUAGAAAUUUUCUUUCACAUAAAUAAAAAUCACUUAAGUAUUUUUUGGUGUCAUGAGAAUGUAAUAUAUCAAAAUUUAAACACAAGAUGCAAUAUAUCAAUUUUCAAACAUAAGAUUCACAAUAAUCACACUAGUAAUAACAAUUUCUAAAUAAAAAUGCUACAUUUCUAAUCAAUAUUCAAAAAAUUCAAGGUUAUAAAUACAAUAAAUCCUAAUUUCUUCAUAGAUUUGUAUUAGUUAGCCUCUAAAAAAUCAUUACAUAGUCAAGAUGUUAGGAAUCUCAAACAAAAUCAAUAUCCCAAAAUCAUUCAAUCAAUAAAAAGAUAAAUGUUGCACAAAAAUCUUAAUCUAUAACAAGAAAAGUUAAAACUCUGAUCUUCUAGAGGUUACUCAAUAAAGCUUGAAAAGAAAAGAAGAAUUGUUACAAAGACCCACUUGAAGUAUUCAAAGAUUGAUCACCUUUCUUGUAAAAAUACUAGAGAGUUUGUGUGAGAGAAAAAGAGAACUUUGAGAGAAAAGUAAUUUGUGUUAAAAGAAAAUAAAAAUAUUAGGGAUUUUUGAAAUUUUAGUGGAGACAGAUAUUCAUUUAUUUUUAUAUAAAAGAUUUUUUUAUAAAAUAAUUUUCUUUCAAAAAUUUUGGUGAAUAAUUUGAAAUUUUUUACAAGGUCAAUUCAUUAAUUAUAUAAAUUUUCUAAAAAAAUUUAUGAGUGAAAUUCCCUUUUACUUUUUCUUAAUGGGGUCUAUGCAUGUGGCUCCGCCCAUGGUGCUUACAACAUGCUUAUUUAUUUUGUGAUAAAAAUUUAUUAGAGAAAGAAGCUCUCAACAAAGGUAAGGAAAAGAUUGUUGAUUGAAGUGGAAAGUGGUAAGCUUUCCAUCAUUUUGUUGAUUUUGGAUAAGUUCUUAUGGGACUUAUCAUAAUUACUUUGUUAUAGGAGUUAUUUAACUUAAUAAUAUGUUAAUUAAUGAAUUAAAAGAUAAAUUAAGAAUUAUGUGAAACUUGUGUGUGGGUGACUUAGUAGAAGGUUACUUGAAUGGUUAUUGAUUAAUGGAAAUAUGGAUUUAAACAUGAAACAUAAAUGUAGGUAGAUGUGUAUAUAUGGAAAUGUGAUUACAUAUGUGAUUGAUGAUGAUAUAUGAAAUUUGUGUAAUGUAAAUGAUAAGAUAAGAAUGGUGAAAGUUAAAGGUGUUCUUUGUUGAAUUAAUGGUAUGAGAUUUAAUGGUUUGAACAUGUUUUUAAUAUAUUUGGAGACUUCUAAAGCUCUUGAAACAUUACACUAAUAUGUUGAUUGAGUAAUGCCCUUGUAAACUUGGUAGGUUUAGGACACGGUUGGCAUGGCAAUAAGGAUUAUUAGCGCACGUAAGAGUUAUAUGGAGACUUGGAGAUUGGUGUUGUUACCUUGGCUUGACAUUCAAUAUUGGCCAAAGGAAUGUUCUUUUUAAGAACCUUGGUUGUGUAGGUUGGAAUGUACAUUUGUGCAAUGAUUAUAUACAUACAUGAUUGUGUGGGAUGGAAUUCUCGAGUGCUCAAAUCUCGUUUUACUAAGGUUACAAAAGGCCCAGAAGGAUAAGUGAAUGUAACAGCCCGUUUUUCAAUGGUGACGAAACAAUGGUUUCGGAACCAUAAAUUUCUAUUGUGUCAGCCUGUAAAUAUUAUUUAUAGAACAUUUGUUGAGCCAUUAGAGCCGUUUUAAUAUUUGGUUAAGAAAUUUUAACGUUUAGAUAGCUAAUUAAAGAAAAAUGACUAAAUUGUAAAAGGUGCAAAACUUAGUAAUUAUUGCAUUUAGAUGAUUUAAUAGCUUAAAUAAUAAAUGUGGGAGGGCCAAUGAAGCAUUAAACCCUAGUAAUAGAUAGUGAACGGUAAUUUUGUAAUUAAAUCAAAAUUAGACAAAGCAUAAUUAAAACAAAAUUUCACCAUCAUCUUCAUUUUCCCAUGGUUUUGUCGAAAACACCAUGAAAGGAUAAACUUGGGGUUCAGUUAGCUCACUCCUUUUCAUGAGUAAGUUUUUUAGCCCCGUUUUUAAUGAAUUUUAUGUUUUUGAGAUCAUUACAACUAGGUCUAGUUAACUAGUACCUUCGUUUUUGAAUCUUUUAAAAAUUUUAAAAGUUUCCAUUGAUGAAUCUUGGUUGUUUUUUAUGAUAAUUAUGUGUUUAAAUCUUUGAUUGUGGUAUUUGGUUGUUUCGUGAAGUAAUUUUUAUUAGCUUUUGAUUUAAGGAUUAAAAUGUUAAAAUCACAUGGUUAAUUGGUAAAUAAGAGGUGUAUUGUGGACUUUUUAGAAGCCUUGAACAUUCGGCUAUAAGUUGAUUCAUUGAAAAUGGUUAAUUUUAUGAAUUUUAGGUUAAGGGACUAAAUUGCAAAAGUUGUAAAAUUUAGGGGCAAUUUUAUAAAUUUUUAAAAUAAAAGGGUAUAAAUUGUAGAAUAAUUUGGAAUAUGAAUUUUAAGCUAAUAAUUGAGAAAUUUUACUUUUUAGUUCAAGACCAUAUUGAUUACGUGGAAAAGGGAAAAUUAUGGAAUAGUCCCUAAACUUCUACAACUAUUAAUAUUCAGUCCAGGUAAGUUUGCUUGGUUUGUAAUUUAAUAUCUAUAUGAAUUGUAUGGUGAUAUGAUAUGAAAUAGUGGAUAUUAUUUGUUCUAUUGAUAAUGUAAAGUUGUUUGGAAAAUGUUACUGAAUUUCGGUACUUGGGCCAGAUGAACGCGAGAUAGAGUACAACUAAAUGGUGGUGUGUUAUGUGGGGUUGGAGUGGAGAUUGAUGUGGCAUGCUUUAUAUAUUUUUCCCUAGCAUACCGAGGUUCUGCAUUUGUUGCGAACCUUCGUGUUAUACUAUCAUAUUCUGGCGUGUUAUGGGGGCAGAUGUAUAGCCUAUGGGCUAGGCACUUAAUGUCGAGGUGUGUUAUCGGUUAGAUUAGCUUUCAUGAGUGUUUGGCGUGGUAUUGGUUGGAUUAUAUUUUAUGAGCAUUUGGCGUGUUUCUGUUGGACUACUUGUGUACUUGUAUCCAUAAGUCGUUCAUCAUGUCGUAAAUUAUUGUUAUAUAACUUGUUUAAUGACUUUGAAUGGCAUGACAUGUACUUGAUAUCUUGAAGUGAUUUCGUUCUGGACAUGUAUACUUUCCAGAAAUUAUUAUUUGAGAAUUGAAUUAAGCUAUGAAAUUCACUAGUUUGAAAUUGUGGAUAACAGGAAACAUUAGUUGUGGAAUAGUAUUUGGUUAAAUUGUUAUAUUUAUUUCGAUAAGAUUCAUUGUUUCUGUCCGUCGAACUUACUAAGCUUCAAUAAGCUUACUUGUGUGAUUUGUAUUUUCUUGUAGAUAUCUUUUUAUGGGAUGGAAGACCGGAUCAGCACUCGAGUCACACUACCCAUCCGAUUUCGGUAGUUUUUGAAUGUUUAUUUUGGAUUAUAUAGCAUGUAAUAGGUUGUUACGUCAACGACCUCGUUUGAUAUUUGUUUAUAUAAUCAUGUGCCUAGUUGAUCUUUGGAUUUAUGUUUGUUUCAUAAUAUGAAGGUAUUAUAUGGUUGCUAAGUGUGGUGAUGAACAUAAGUUUGUUAAAUGUAGUUUGUUGUUUGAUUUUGGUAAGCUUAGCUAAGAAUAACUAUUGAUAUAUGUUUGAUUUUAACUUGGUAAAUUAGGAGGUUGGAUAAUUGGCUCAAAUAGGAUAAGUAUGUAUGUUUGAAUAGUUGAAUGCUUGAUGAUUUAUAUCAUUGUACAUGUAUGUAUAAUUGUGGUACCAAUGAGGGUACAUUGGUUAGGCACUUAAAAUGGUUGAUUUGGCAUGAUUUGAGUAGGUUUAAUGGUAAUUUGAUUAGGUUUAAGGGCUGGCGUUUGGAAUGCUUAGUGUCUAAAAAAUCUGGAAAUGGUAAACUUGAGUUUUAAGGUUCAUUUUGGCACACACGGGCUGCCAUACGACCAUGUACCGUACACGGUCUGAGACACGGCCGUGUGUAUCAAGUCAGUGAGUCAUAUGGUUUGGCACACGAUCUAUAACACGACCAUGUGUAUUAAGUCAGUGAGUUACAUGAUUUGAGACACGGGCUAGGACACGGCCGUGUGUCCCAACUUUGAAUAUUCAUACGGCCUGGGUUAUGUCACACGACCGUGUGUCCCCUAUUUUUAAAAUUUUUCAUAUUCUUCCUAAAAUUUCCUGAUUUGUUUCAAAUUAGUCCCUAAGGGUUUUAAGAUUAUUUCUUUAGUCCUUUAAACUCGAUUAAAGCCUCUUAAAUGUAAGUUAUUAUUGCAAUUUCAUUACAUUGUGGUAUUUUGAGAAAUUAUAUUGAAAUGAUUAUGAUUCUACCUGUUUAUUUUUGUUAACUUGCUGUAGCAUUCUUGUAACCCUAUUUUGGUGACAGAUAUAAGUUAGGGUUGUUACAGUGAAUUCAAGACACUUGUAAUCAUGAAGAAGAGAAUAAAAUCAUGAGGUAUUAAUUGAAUGGAAUUAAAAUAUCCUUAACACUCUUAUUUAUAUGAUGAUUGUUGUUAUCUAUUUCCUUAUGAAUUGUGCUUAUAUGACGUUAUUUGUCACUUAUAUUUUCAAAAACUAUAUUAAUGUUUCUUGUUUCAUAUUAUGUUUACCUUUGUCCAAUGGGUAACUAUUAACUUAGCUAACUCAUUCAAUGAGGUAAGAUAAGUAUGGUAAUUUCUAUUUAACUUACUAAGCAAUUAUGCUUACACGUUGUUGUUUUUGCGCAUAGAUUGUAGAUUCAUAGAUUCAUAAAGCCAAGCUAAAUUUGGGACAUCAAACUGUCAUUGAGACCUCCAAGAGCAUGAAAGUUGCAUAUUUAGUUUAUGGCAUGUACUAGGGUGUCUACAUUUAAAUAUCUUAAUUUCAUAUUAUUUGGUAUCUAUGUUGAAUGUUAUUCAAAUUUGAACUUGGAAACUCUUCUUGGUAUAUCACUAUACUAUUCUUCUUUUGAUUAAUCAAGGGUAUGCCUGGUUAAUUUACUUUCGAGUGUACUAUUUUUAAUUUUAAAGUGUUUUAUAAUAGUUUUUGUAUAUAUUUGAGAGGUUUUUUAAUCAUGUUAUAUGAAUACCAUGAAUAAAAGGACCUUGUAAAAACACUUGAAGUGUUUUUGGAUGAACUUAGUGAAUCACAUUGCGACUAUGAAGUUGCAACAUCAUGACUUUGUAUUUCUCCUCAUCGCAACCUCAUCAAAUUAGUCAUGCCACAAUGUCCUAAGUUCUUUGUCGCAAUGUUGCGCCACUAUUACCUCCCUGCACUAUUUCAAGUUGUUUUGACCUUUCGGGACCCGUUUUAGGUUCCAAUCACCUCCGAUCAAAUCUGAAUAAAUUCUAAACAAUUUUAAAUUAUUUUUAAAAAUUUAAAUUUUUAUAAAAAUAUUUAAUUAGUUUUUAAAAAUAUUUUAAACUUUUAAUUCUUAAAAAAACCAAAAUUACUUACUUGUACAUGCUUCGUUGACAUCUCUCAUUUAUACCGAUCAUCUGGUACGGGUUAAGGGUGUUACAUGCAUGCAUUUCAAAUCCUAUAAUAAUAUAUUCUAUAAAAAAACUAUUGAUAUAGGGAAUCAACAAGGAGGAGACAAAGGGGAGAAUGUGGUGCUUACAAGGAAACUGAUUCACCUGUGACAAACAAAGAAUUAAAGUACAGUGUAAGGCCUACGACAUGGCCGUGUGAUCUAAGUCAAUAAUAUACACAGGUAAAGACACGAGCUAGGACACGACCCUGUGUCCCAACUUCAAAUGCCCACAUGGUCUGGGCUAUGUCACACGACCUGGACACAUGGCCGUGUAACCCCUGCAUCUCAAAUUUUCAUGUUUUUCUCAAAAAUUUCUAAUUUGUCUCAAUUUGAUCCCUGAUUGUUUCUAAUGUAAUUUUACAGCCUUGUAAACUUGAACAAAGGCC
rnacentral:lncRNA from 1 species